rnacentral:lncRNA from 1 species
AGGUGUUGGUACUAAACUCACACUCGAUCUUCAUUCCACUUGGAAAAGGAAACUCAAAGGUGGAUAUUUUUUCCGGCAGAUAUUUCUUUCUCACGUCGAAUUCUUCCGGCAGCGGCGACGUUAAAUCCCUAAUCUCGGCAGUGAUUUGCUAAAUCCCUGUACUUCACAAAUCGAUCUCCACUCCGGCACUCCCAUCCUACACGAUAAUGUGUAUUCUAUUCUUAUUUUCUUUUAGUUUGGUUUGGGACAAAAAUAGAUCUGUUAAAUCCACGAUUUGUUCAUUUGUUUUUCCACGAUUUGUUUAAUCCCUAAAAAAUAUGUUAAAUCCCUAAAAAAAUUCUUUGUUUCUAUUUUCAUCAAAAUCUGUUCAUUUGUUUCUAUUUUAA